rnacentral:rRNA from 1 species
GACGAACGCUGGCGGCGUGCCUAAUACAUGCAAGUUGAGCGAUGAAGAUUGGUGCUUGCACCAAUUUGAAGAGCAGCGAACGGGUGAGUAACGCGUGGGGAACCUCCCUUUGAGCGGGGGACAACUUUUGGAAACGAAUGCUAAUACCGCAUACCAACUUUAAACAUAAGUUUUAAGUUUGAAAGAUCCAAUUGCAUCACUCAAGGAGGAUCCCGCGUUGUAUUGGCUCGUUGGUGAGGUAAAGGCUCACCAAGGCGAGGAUACAUAGCCGACCUGAGAGGGUGCUCGGCCACAUUGGGACUGAGACACGCCCCAAACUCCUACGGGAGGCAGCAGUAGGGAAUCUUCGGCGAUGGACGAAAGUCUGACCGAGCAACGCCGCGUGAGUGAAGAAGGGUUUCGGAUCGUAAAACUCGGUUGGUAGAGAAGAGCGUUGGUGGGAGUGGAAAGCUCAUCAAGUGACGGUAACUACCCAGAAAGGGACGGCUAACUACGUG